rnacentral:rRNA from 1 species
UACGUAGGGUGCGAGCGUUGUCCGGAAUUAUUGGUCGUAAAGAGCUCGUAGGCGGUCUGUCGCGUCGAUCGUGAAAACUUGGGGCUUAACCCUGAGCUUGCGGUCGAUACGGGCAUGACUGGAGUUCGGCAGGGGAGACUGGAAUUCCUGGUGUAGCGGUGAAAUGCGCAGAUAUCAGGAGGAACACCGGUGGCGAAGGCGGGUCUCUGGGCCGAUACUGACGCUGAGGAGCGAAAGCGUGGGGAGCGAACAGG